UUUUACUUUUUGACUUAUCUAUUUCUUUUGAAACUAAAGGGCUACUACCUAGGCCGGUUGAGAACAUACGACGUACAAGUUUACUAAAACAAAAAUGGAAAUAAACAUGGAGCAACAUAUACUUAAAUUAAGACAGUGCAUUAGUAUAUAACCUAUAUGACAAGUUCCAACAUCCGAAUAGUGCAAUAAAUUAAUAAAGUCAGUA
rnacentral:lncRNA from 1 species